rnacentral:lncRNA from 1 species
CUGCAUGGGGCAACUGCUUUCCUCCGUGAGCUUCCCUGAUGCAAUACAUUUGCCAGUUAAUUAAAACAAAUAAAUCACUCACAUACGCUGCAGAGUGCCUAUGUGAAUGAGGCAUGCUAAUAAAAAUAAGUAACUUUCAAAGACCUCUGCCUCCCAGCUAGAGGAGAUUUACGGCUUCGAGAUAGGAGCGUUGCCUUGAACCAGAGAUGCCUCUUCUGCACAGCGAGGGGCAGCCCAGAUUUCUGAUCAUUUCUCCAUCCACAGCCACCCACAGCGUACUGCUGCUGUGCAGGGGCAUGCCACCACCUCUUCACACGGACUGCUGCGGAACAAGGGACAGGGCAGAGGCAGAUGGUGGAACAAUGUGCUGGGGGAUGACUGAAAUUGAAAAUCUCAGGAUGUAUUUUUCAAAUGCUUUCCCUCAGCAACUCUGCCAUCCGACUGCUACAGAGGCUCAGCUGGGAGGAGGCACAGGCACGUUCACAGAAGCCCUCAGUGGAGACUUUGCCAGCUGUCUUCAUGCAUGGGGCAAUCCGGGCUGAACAAGAGAUGGAGCACAGAGGAGAGGCAUAAAAGAUUCUGAAACGCCUCCUAGAACUGCACAGGAAAGCAGUACAUCCAAGCAGCAAUUCACCUGCUGCUCCUCCAUUUUCCUGGUGCAGAUGGAACAGCGUGGGAAGGACUGCUGCUCCCACAGCAGAUAGUGAGACUCUGAAGUCAUUUCCACUCACGCUUGUGCAUCCAAGCGCUCACUGGAGUUGUGGCACAACUCUUCUGGAGAAGACACACACAACAGGCAGUCAGCUGUAAGCUCCAAGUGCUGGCAGGAGCCGACGUGCAAGAGGAGCAGACUGUCUGGGACCUGGAUACAGCUCAUCUUCACUACAAAGGACUGUUAUGAGUUAUUGUUUAACCUGGAGUUAAAGAAAUGUAUCCAUCUCCUUGUCAUCUUCAAUUUGCAGGAAAGUCCCUCUGAUACUUGGUCCUAACUUGCAUCAGUGAUGCAAAGUGUCAUAAAUAUUUCGACAAGUUUGGCUACCUGCAGCACUCUCAGCAGCCUAGAAAGCUUCAAACAGUCCUGAAGUUUUUUUCAAAGUAAUACUUAAUUAUUUGUAUGCAACACAAAUGAGUGUAAUAUUAGUGAUCAGGAAGAAUUUAAACAUUUAGGAACACAAUGUGAAUGCAUUACUAAUGUGUAAAACAUUUUGUCCUUUCCUGUCUUGUUCAGAAGCAUGCUGAAUUACAACCCUGAGGGGAAUGUGAUGGCAUUAUUCAUCCCUAAUUUUAAACACUAGACAAAAAUAUCUAAAAUUAACAUACCGUUUGUGAUAUUAAUACAUGGCAUAAAACUGAAAAUGAAUAAAAGCAAAUCCUACAAGUCA